rnacentral:tRNA from 1 species
GCAUCUUUCAGCUCAGUUGGUUAAGAGCGUGGUGCUGAUAAUGCCAAGGUUGCAGGUUUGAUCCCCGUAUGGGACA